rnacentral:lncRNA from 1 species
UGUGGCCUGCCUUUCUGCACAGGACUGUGUGGCUGCGAGGAUAUUCUUCACUAAGAUAACUGGGAGACUGGAUUCCUGGUAAGCCCGGGACCCCACGGGCAGCCCUUCAGGUAAAGCUGGAGGAGCAUGGACUGCCUUGGCCAAACAGGGCCCACGCGGCUGUCAGGGUAUCCUUCACGAAGAGACACCUGGGAACCUUGAUUCCUGGUAACCCUGGGAUGCCAUCAGUACAGGUGUUAUAUCAGAAAUAACUCGGGGAUUCCAGAGCCACCUCCACAGUCUGUCGCAGGAGCUGUGAGCGGGGUAGGACCGGCGUGUCUGACCGGGCGCUCUGAGCGUGCCGCACAAAAUCCCUGCCGCAUGAAGCUCUUGGGGGCUGAUUUGGACCUCAGCCCGCGAGGCCCGAUCUGCGGCCUUGCCAUCCUCUCAGGAAUGAAGCAUCGCCCCCCAGCAGAAGACCUUUUGAAUGGCUCCUUGUGAAUGAACCCAAUCAAGACUUCUGGCAGCAUGUUCAUCCCUGGGAAGAGGGAUGCCAUAGCCCCAUGCUUUACAGAGGAGGAAACUGUGGCAGGGCUCGUCUAGAGCUAGAAUCAGCUCCGACACUAACUGCAGAGUUAGAGGCAAUGCCAGGGUCAGGAGAGGAGCCAGCUG